UAGAGUUUGAUCCUGGCUCAGAACGAACGCUGGCGGCGUGUUUAAGACAUGCAAGUCGCACGGGGGAAGGACGGUAUUUAUAUUGUUUUUCCCUAGUGGCGCACGGGUGAGUAACACGUGAACUACAUGCCCUUCAGAGGGGGAUAGCCCGCCGAAAGGUGGAUUAAUACCCCAUGGUCCCUCACGGGUAAAGGUGGCGCAAGCUGCCGCUGGAGGAUUGGUUCGCGCCCUAUCAGCUUGUUGGCGGGGUAACGGCCCACCAAGGCAAUGACGGGUAGCUGGUCUGAGAGGACGAUCAGCCACACUGGAACUGAGACACGGUCCAGACACCUACGGGUGGCAGCAGUCGAGAAUAAUUCACAAUGGGGGCAACCCUGAUGGUGCAACGCCGCGUGGAGGAUGACGGUCUUCGGAUUGUAAACUCCUGUCAUCCGGGAGAAAGACCUGACGGUUAACAGCCGGCAGGGUUGAUAGUACCGGAAGAGGAAGGGACGGCUAACUUCGUGCCAGCAGCCGCGGUAAUACGAAGGUCCCGAGCGUUGUUCGGAAUCACUGGGCGUAAAGGGAGCGUAGGCGGCGCGGCAAGUCAGAUGUGAAAUCCCGGGGCUCAACCCCGGAACUGCAUCCGAUACUGCCGUGCUUGAGCGAUGGAGGGGUAGCUGGAAUUCUCGGUGUAGCAGUGAAAUGCGUAGAUAUCGAGAGGAACACCCGUGGCGAAAGCGAGCUACUGGACAUCUGCUGACGCUGAGGCUCGAAGGCCAGGGGAGCGAAAGGGAUUAGAUACCCCUGUAGUCCUGGCAGUAAACGGUGUGCGCUUGGUGUGAGGGGAUUCGACCCCCCUCGUGCCGGAGCCAACGCGUUAAGCGCACCGCCUGGGAAGUACGGUCGCAAGACUAAAACUCAAAGAAAUUGACGGGGACCCGCACAAGCGGUGGAGUAUGUGGCUUAAUUCGAUGCAACGCGAAGAACCUUACCUAGGCUUGACAUGCGUCUCUAAGCGCGUGAAAGCGCGUGACCCCUUGUGGGAAUUCGCACAGGUGCUGCAUGGCCGUCGUCAGCUCGUGUCGUGAGAUGUUGGGUUAAGUCCCGCAACGAGCGCAACCCUUGUGAUCAGUUGCCAGCACGUGAUGGUGGGGACUCUGGUCAGACUGCCCAGAUCAACUGGGAGGAAGGUGGGGACGACGUCAGGUCAGUAUGGCCCUUACGCCUAGGGCUGCACACGUACUACAAUGCCCAGCACAAUGAGAACCGAUACCGCGAGGUGGAGGAAAUCUGCAAAACUGGGCCCAGUUCGGAUCGGAGGCUGCAACUCGCCUCCGUGAAGUCGGAAUCGCUAGUAAUGGCGCAUCAUCUACGGCGCCGUGAAUACGUUCCCGGGUCUUGUACACACCGCCCGUCACAUCAUGGAAGCCGGUAGCACCCGAAGUAUCGUAUGGUCCUAAGGUGAAGCUGGUAACUGGGAUGAAGUCGUAACAAGGUAACC
rnacentral:rRNA from 1 species